ACCAGGUAUGGUGGCACAUGCCUGUAAUCCCAACUACUGGGGAGGCUGAGGCAGGAGGAUUGCGAGUUUGAGGCCAGCCUUGUCAACUUUGUCAGACCCUGUCUCAA
rnacentral:sRNA from 1 species